UCGAGUCCACCUUUUGAAGAUUGAGAACGUGUAGCCUUUCCCAUCGAGAACAUGCUAGUUUUGCAAGUGCACUUCUACUUUCUAGAUGGAUUUCAUUAGCCGCCUUUGGCUUGCUUUAUUCGAGGCAACAAAGGAGAGCGGGAAUAAUACACCGGCGUAGUUUACGCCAAGGAUGUUUUUGGUUAGAGUGCAUCACCUACUUUAUGUUGUUUGGUGCAUUCUCCCACUAGUGUGAGAAUAUGCAUGACUCUUGGCAACGGAUAUCUAGGCUCUCGCGUCGAUGAAGAACGUAGCGAAAUGCGAUACUUGGUGUGAAUUGCAGAAUCCCGUGAACCAUCGAGUCUUUGAACGCAAGUUGCGCCCAAGACCAUCAGGUCGAGGGCACGUCUGCCUGGGCGUCCCGCUUUACGUCACUCGUAGCACCAACCUAGAUUAAACUUGGGUUUUGGUGCAUCUUGAUGUGGACAUUGACCCUCUGCGAUCUUUUACACGCUGUGGGUCUAAGCGAUUGGCGUUGUUGGGUUUCAACGCGACGGAAUGGUGGGUAUAUUGUACGCAUCAAGCCUCAAGUUGUGCGCGUGACUCCUAGCCACGACCUACAAGAAGUGGAACCCAUAACGACGUUUGCACCUUUUGCAAGGUCGGACC
rnacentral:misc_RNA from 1 species